CUUGGAGGAUGUAUAGCGAAAGCUAGUGUGUAUUAACGUUCGGACGUCUGUAGAAGUUUAUGCAGCAUCGACUAUGUCGAAUAAAGUUCUAGGUAAAGUUAUGAUUAUGACAUUUUCUAUCUAUGUGUCUUGACCAAGUCACGUGCCAGCAGUCGCGGUAAUACGCGGAAGACUAGUGUUAUUCAUCUUUAAUAGGUUUAAAGGGUACUUAGACGGUAAAUUUAGCCCAAGUAAAAACAAAGGGUACUAAUAUUACUAGAGUUUUAUGGGAGAGGGGUGUGAACUAAUGGAGUAGAGAUGAAAUUCUGUCAUACCAUUAUGACAGGCAACGGCGAAAGCAACCCUUUAUGUAAAAACUGACGUUAAAGGACGAAGGCUUUGUGUCACCAACAGGAUUAGAUACCCAAGCAGUCUUAGCAGACAAUUAUGAAUGCCAUAGAUAAGAAAAAAUAUACUUUGUAUUCUUAUUGCCACAGUAACAGAAACAGGUAAGAAACAGAAACAGAAAUGGGUAAGUGACAGAAACAAGCAAGAAACUGAAACCGGUAAGAACAAAGUUUUCUUUUUUUUUUCUUAUUGUCACAGAUAAGAAAAAAUAAACAAGAAACAAAAAAAGUCUUUUCUUUUUUUAGGAAAUUUUGUCUAUAAAUGAAAGUGUAAGCAUUCCACCUCAACAGUAAUGUGGCAACAUAUAAACUGAAAUCAUUAGACCGUUUCUGAAACCAGUAGUGAAGUAUGUUGUUUAAUUAGAUGGUCCGCAAAAAACCUUACCACAAUUUGUAUAUUAUUAGCUUAAUACAAGAGUUGCACGGCUGUCUUCAGUUAAUAUCGUGAGAGUUUGGUUAGUUCCAUAAAAUUAACGUAAACCCUUACUUUAUUUAUAUUAUAAAGUAGUUCACCGCUAUAUUGGAUAUGAUAAAAGGGACUAAGACAAGUCAUCAUGGCCUGAAUAUUGUGGGCUAUAGACGUGCCACAUAUGCCUAUACAAAGGGAUGCGAAAUUGUG
rnacentral:rRNA from 1 species